AGUGAACGCUGGCGGUAGGCCUAACACAUGCAAGUCGAACGGCAGCACAGUAAGAGCUUGCUCUUACGGGUGGCGAGUGGCGGACGGGUGAGGAAUACAUCGGAAUCUACUUUUUCGUGGGGGAUAACGUAGGGAAACUUACGCUAAUACCGCAUACGACCUACGGGUGAAAGCAGGGGAUCUUCGGACCUUGCGCGAUUGAAUGAGCCGAUGUCGGAUUAGCUAGUUGGCGGGGUAAAGGCCCACCAAGGCGACGAUCCGUAGCUGGUCUGAGAGGAUGAUCAGCCACACUGGAACUGAGACACGGUCCAGACCCCUACGGGAGGCAGCAGUGGGGAAUAUUGGACAAUGGGCGCAAGCCUGAUCCAGCCAUACCGCGUGGGUGAAGAAGGCCUUCGGGUUGUAAAGCCCUUUUGUUGGGAAAGAAAAGCAGAAGGUUAAUACCCCGCUGUUCUGACGGUACCCAAAGAAUAAGCACCGGCUAACUUCGUG
rnacentral:rRNA from 1 species